rnacentral:tRNA from 1 species
GCAACGAUGGUUCAGUGGUAGAAUUCUCACCUUCCAUGCGAGAGACCUAGGUUUGAUUCCCGGCCAAUGCA